GACAAAGCAAAUGUUGUUGGAACAAGACUCCAUUUGGUCUGCAACGGUCAGCAACAACUACUGUCUGAGAAAAAGCAAAGAUCUAGAGGCAGAAGUACUCUCUAGGUGCAGCAAAUAUGAUGUGUUAAAAUUCAAGGAAGGUGCUGACCAAAAACCACACAAAACAGACAUGAAUCAAAGAGGCAGGAGAGGAGCCUAGAAGCUACCCCAAUUAGAGGCACCCAGAGGCAGCUAUGAAAGCUCAGGCACCAUUAUAAGCUUCUGAGCACAAGCUACUGAGAGCAAAUGCUAAGCACUCAGGCAGAACGAUGUGGCAUGCAGGUCAUGAAUGACUAGUAGAACUCUCAGGUACAGUUCUCUCUGGACAUCUACUAGUGGGUGAUGAACCGCUGGUGCUUUCUUGACAAAGAUCUUACAAAUUGAAUUACUAUUUGGAAUACCAAAGGCUGAGAAUGGAUUCUGACUUUAGGAUCUUCAAAAGCUGCAAAGAAAAUUGGAUGAGUACACAGAAAUCAAAUACAAAUCAGUAAGAAAUAUGGCCUAUGAGAGACAUGGGAACAAUGCUAUAGAAAUGUAAAGAAAAAGAAGAAAGAAAAGAAGAUGGUUUCUGGCUAAAAGGCAACGAAAAGAAAAUCAGGAGAUACAGUAGUUACCAGUUUACAUGUGGCCUCAGCACAUGGGAAGAAGCUGGAUGUUAAGUUUAAAGAUACCCACCUUCAUAGAAAAAAGAAAAAGGAAACUUCACAGUGUAUAACCAAGUAUAGGGGCCUCCGGCAGGCUGCCCCCAAAUGUGCCACUUUGACAUGAAGAUCGUGUGGAGUUAAAAUAAAAGCCCAGCAGAGGCAGGAAAGGCACUCUGCCUCCCCGAUAACGGCCUCAAUUUACACUGAAAAGGAGAGCCUAUACCAGGAAGAGAAAUAUUAACACUGACUCCACUUGACCUAAGAAGGAACUCAUUUGGAUAACAGAACAGUCUUCUUUUUCCAAACAUCUCUUUUCACCUUUUUGGUUACUGACUUUUCUCCUCUCUGUACCCCCAGGCUCUACCCCUCCCCUUAGCUCAGAAAAGCUUCCUGUCACUGCACCAUGAUUGGAACUCCGUGUCCGUGUGGAUUCCCCAGAUGUACACCUGUGAAAUUUGAUUCUCUUCUGUUAAUCUGUCUCAUGUCAAUUUGAUUCUAAGUCCAGCUAGAAGAACCUUAGGGCAGAGGAAGGUCUUUCUCCCCGACAGAAAUUAUUAAAAAGUAUUUAUGAAAACAAAAAGUAUUUAUGGCCUUUCAUGUGUUUGGGAAACCUAGGCCUUUCAUGUGUUUAGGUGUGUAUAAUUUAAAAUGCACAUUUUCACUUUGCUCCAUCAGGAAAAGAAACAUGUCUUUUCUUUAUGUAUCUCUUACAAAUACGCACCUUACCUAUAUAGUAACUGCUCAAUAAAUCACUAUUAAACAAAUGGACUAUCUAAUGUAAACCUACUUCAUGGAACAAUUUUUAAUGGCAUAAAUAAAUGAUACAAACUGUACCAAGAAACUGGACACUU